UACGUAGGUGGCAAGCGUUGUCCGGAUUCAUUGGGCGUAAAGAGCUCGUAGGCGGUUCGGUAAGUCGGGUGUGAAAACCCCCAGGCUCAACCUGGGGACGCCACCCGAUACUGCUGUGACUUGAGUCUGGUAGGGGAGCACGGAAUUCCUGGUGUAGCGGUGAAAUGCACAGAUAUCAGGAGGAACACCGGUGGCGAAGGCGGUGCUCUGGGCCAGUACUGACGCUGAGGAGCGAAAGCGUGGGGAGCGAACAGG
rnacentral:rRNA from 1 species